AGAGUUUGAUCCUGGCUCAGGACGAACGCUGGCGGCGUGCCUAAUACAUGCAAGUCGAACGCUUCUUUCCUCCCGAGUGCUUGCACUCAAUUGGAAAGAGGAGUGGCGGACGGGUGAGUAACACGUGGGUAACCUACCCAUCAGAGGGGGAUAACACUUGGAAACAGGUGCUAAUACCGCAUAACAGUUUAUGCCGCAUGGCAUAAGAGUGAAAGGCGCUUUCGGGUGUCGCUGAUGGAUGGACCCGCGGUGCAUUAGCUAGUUGGUGAGGUAACGGCUCACCAAGGCCACGAUGCAUAGCCGACCUGAGAGGGUGAUCGGCCACACUGGGACUGAGACACGGCCCAGACUCCUACGGGAGGCAGCAGUAGGGAAUCUUCGGCAAUGGACGAAAGUCUGACCGAGCAACGCCGCGUGAGUGAAGAAGGUUUUCGGAUCGUAAAACUCUGUUGUUAGAGAAGAACAAGGACGUUAGUAACUGAACGUCCCCUGACGGUAUCUAACCAGAAAGCCACGGCUAACUACGUGCCAGCAGCCGCGGUAAUACGUAGGUGGCAAGCGUUGUCCGGAUUUAUUGGGCGUAAAGCGAGCGCAGGCGGUUUCUUAAGUCUGAUGUGAAAGCCCCCGGCUCAACCGGGGAGGGUCAUUGGAAACUGGGAGACUUGAGUGCAGAAGAGGAGAGUGGAAUUCCAUGUGUAGCGGUGAAAUGCGUAGAUAUAUGGAGGAACACCAGUGGCGAAGGCGGCUCUCUGGUCUGUAACUGACGCUGAGGCUCGAAAGCGUGGGGAGCAAACAGGAUUAGAUACCCUGGUAGUCCACGCCGUAAACGAUGAGUGCUAGGUGUUGGAUCCUUUCCGGGAUUCAGUGCCGAAGCUAACGCAUUAAGCACUCCGCCUGGGGAGUACGACCGCAAGGUUGAAACUCAAAGGAAUUGACGGGGGCCCGCACAA
rnacentral:rRNA from 1 species